GACGAACGCUGGCGGCGUGCUUAACACAUGCAAGUCGAACGGAAAGGCCCUGCUUUUGUGGGGUGCUCGAGUGGCGAACGGGUGAGUAACACGUGAGUAACCUGCCCUUGACUUUGGGAUAACUUCAGGAAACUGGGGCUAAUACCGGAUAGGAGCUCCUGCUGCAUGGUGGGGGUUGGAAAGUUUCGGCGGUUGGGGAUGGACUCGCGGCUUAUCAGCUUGUUGGUGGGGUAGUGGCUUACCAAGGCUUUGACGGGUAGCCGGCCUGAGAGGGUGACCGGAGACGUUGGGAGUGGGAUACGGCCGGGGCUCCGGCGGGAGGCAGCAGUGGGGCAGGGGGAACAAUGGGCGGGAGCCUGAUGCAGCAACGCCGCGGGCGGGAUGACGGCCUGCGGGUAGGAAAACGCUUUCGCCUGUGACGAAGCGUGAGGGCCGGUGAUGAGUAAAGAGACACCGGCUAACGACGUG
rnacentral:rRNA from 1 species